GGUCGUAUAGCGCAGUUGGUUAACGCGUCGUACUAAUAUAGUCGAAAGAAUAUUGGCAUGCGAAGAUCCUGAGUUCGAGCCUCAGUAUGACCA
rnacentral:tRNA from 1 species